CCUACGGGAGGCUGCAGUGGGGAAUAUUGGACAAUGGGGGGAACCCUGAUCCAGCCAUGCCGCGUGUGUGAAGAAGGCCCUCGGGUUGUAAAGCACUUUCAGUGAGGAAGAACGCCUGGUGGUUAAUACCCAUCAGGAAAGACAUCACUCACAGAAGAAGCACCGGCUAACUCCGUGCCAGCAGCCGCGGUAAUACGGAGGGUGCGAGCGUUAAUCGGAAUUACUGGGCGUAAAGCGCGCGUAGGUGGCUUGAUAAGCCGGUUGUGAAAGCCCCGGGCUCAACCUGGGAACGGCAUCCGGAACUGUCAAGCUAGAGUGCAGGAGAGGAAGGUAGAAUUCCCGGUGGAGCGGUGAAAUGCGUAGAGAUAGGGAGGAAUACCAGUGGCGAAGGCGGCCUUCUGGACUGACACUGACACUGAGGUGCGAAAGCGUGGGUAGCAAACAGGAUUAGAUACCCCUGUAGUC
rnacentral:rRNA from 1 species